AACGAACGCUGGCGGCAUGCCUAACACAUGCAAGUCGAACGAAGGCUUCGGCCUUAGUGGCGCACGGGUGCGUAACGCGUGGGAAUCUGCCCUUUGGUUCGGAAUAACAGCUGGAAACGGCUGCUAAUACCGGAUGAUGACGAAAGUCCAAAGAUUUAUCGCCAGAGGAUGAGCCCGCGUUGGAUUAGGUAGUUGGUGGGGUAAAGGCCUACCAAGCCGACGUUCCAUAGCUGGUCUGAGAGGAUGAUCAGCCACACUGGGACUGAGACACGGCCCAGACUCCUACGGGAGGCAGCAGUGGGGGAUAUUGGACAAUGGGCGCAAGCCUGAUCCAGCAAUGCCGCGUGAGUGAUGAAGGCCCUAGGGUUGUAAAGCUCUUUUACCCGGGAAGCUAAUGACUGUACCGGGAGAAUAAGCCCCGGCUAACUCCGUG
rnacentral:rRNA from 1 species